rnacentral:snoRNA from 1 species
AGCCCGUGAUGUUUUAAGAGUAGUGGACAGAAGGGAUUUCUGAAUUUAUGUUCUGAGGCU